GACGAACGCUGGCGGCGUGCCUAAUACAUGCAAGUAGAACGCUGAAGAGAGGAGCUUGCUCUUCUUGGAUGAGUUGCGAACGGGUGAGUAACGCGUAGGUAACCUGCCUUGUAGCGGGGGAUAACUAUUGGAAACGAUAGCUAAUACCGCAUAACAAUGGAUGACACAUGUCAUUUAUUUGAAAGGGGCAAUUGCUCCACUACAAGAUGGACCUGCGUUGUAUUAGCUAGUAGGUGAGGUAAUGGCUCACCUAGGCGACGAUACAUAGCCGACCUGAGAGGGUGAUCGGCCACACUGGGACUGAGACACGGCCCAGACUCCUACGGGAGGCAGCAGUAGGGAAUCUUCGGCAAUGGGGGCAACCCUGACCGAGCAACGCCGCGUGAGUGAAGAAGGUUUUCGGAUCGUAAAGCUCUGUUGUAAGUCAAGAACGGGUGUGAGAGUGGAAAGUUCACACUGUGACGGUAGCUUACCAGAAAGGGACGGCUAACUACGUGCCAGCAGCCGCGGUAAUACGUAGGUCCCGAGCGUUGUCCGGAUUUAUUGGGCGUAAAGCGAGCGCAGGCGGUUUGAUAAGUCUGAAGUUAAAGGCUGUGGCUCAACCAUAGUUCGCUUUGGAAACUGUCAAACUUGAGUGCAGAAGGGGAGAGUGGAAUUCCAUGUGUAGCGGUGAAAUGCGUAGAUAUAUGGAGGAACACCGGUGGCGAAAGCGGCUCUCUGGUCUGUAACUGACGCUGAGGCUCGAAAGCGUGGGGAGCGAACAGGAUUAGAUACCCUGGUAGUCCACGCCGUAAACGAUGAGUGCUAGGUGUUGGAUCCUUUCCGGGAUUCAGUGCCGCAGCUAACGCAUUAAGCACUCCGCCUGGGGAGUACGACCGCAAGGUUGAAACUCAAAGGAAUUGACGGGGGCCCGCACAAGCGGUGGAGCAUGUGGUUUAAUUCGAAGCAACGCGAAGAACCUUACCAGGUCUUGACAUCCCGAUGCUAUUUCUAGAGAUAGAAAGUUACUUCGGUACAUCGGUGACAGGUGGUGCAUGGUUGUCGUCAGCUCGUGUCGUGAGAUGUUGGGUUAAGUCCCGCAACGAGCGCAACCCCUAUUGUUAGUUGCCAUCAUUCAGUUGGGCACUCUAGCGAGACUGCCGGUAAUAAACCGGAGGAAGGUGGGGAUGACGUCAAAUCAUCAUGCCCCUUAUGACCUGGGCUACACACGUGCUACAAUGGUUGGUACAACGAGUUGCGAGUCGGUGACGGCGAGCUAAUCUCUUAAAGCCAAUCUCAGUUCGGGUUGUAGGCUGCAACUCGCCUACAUGAAGUCGGAAUCGCUAGUAAUCGCGGAUCAGCACGCCGCGGUGAAUACGUUCCCGGGCCUUGUACACACCGCCCGUCACACCACGAGAGUUUGUAACACCCGAAGUCGGUGAGGUAACCUUUUGGAGCCAGCCGCCUAAGGUGGGACAGAUGAUUGGGGUGAAG
rnacentral:rRNA from 1 species